rnacentral:rRNA from 1 species
UUGCACAAUGGGCGAAAGCGUGAUGCAGCCAUGCCGCGUGUGUGAAGAAGGCCUUCGGGUUGUAAAGCACUUUCAGCGAGGAGGAAAGGUUAACGAUUAAUACUCGUUAGCUGUGACGUUACUCGCAGAAGAAGCACCGGCUAACUCCGUGCCAGCAGCCGCGGUAAUACGGAGGGUGCGAGCGUUAAUCGGAAUUACUGGGCGUAAAGCGUGCGCAGGCGGUUUGUUAAGCGAGAUGUGAAAGCCCCGGGCUCAACCUGGGAACUGCAUUUUUGAACUGGCAAACUAGAGUCUUGUAGAGGGGGGUAGAAUUCCAGGUGUAGCGGUGAAAUGCGUAGAGAUCUGGAGGAAUACCGGUGGCGAAGGCGGCCCCCUGGACAAAGACUGACGCUCAUGCACGAAAGCGUGGGGAGCAAACAGGAUUAGAUACCCUGGUAGUCCACGCCGUAAACGAUGUCUACUCGGAGUUUGGUGUCUUGAACACUGGGCUCUCAAGCUAACGCAUUAAGUAGACCGCCUGGGGAGUACGGCCGCAAGGUUAAAACUCAAAUGAAUUGACGGGGGCCCGCACAAGCGGUGGAGCAUGUGGUUUAAUUCGAUGCAACGCGAAGAACCUUACCUACUCUUGACAUCCACGGA